UACGAAGGGGGCUAGCGUUGCUCGGAAUUACUGGGCGUAAAGGGCGCGUAGGCGGACAGUUUAGUCAGAGGCGAAAGCCCAGGGCUCAACCUUGGAAUUGCCUUUGAUACUGGCUGUCUUGAGUUCGGGAGAGGUGAGUGGAAUGCCGAGUGUAGAGGUGAAAUUCGUAGAUAUUCGGCGGAACACCAGUGGCGAAGGCGACUCACUGGCCCGAUACUGACGCUGAGGCGCGAAAGCGUGGGGAGCAAACAGG
rnacentral:rRNA from 1 species